rnacentral:misc_RNA from 1 species
GUGGGAGGGGGCUUGCCCCCGAUGGCGCCUUGUCAGUCAGCAUAGUUGUUGACUGAACUGCCGCUAUCGGGGGCAAGCCCCCUCCCAC